GCUGUCAGGUGAGACAUAUGAAGCUCAGACUAGUUUAGUAAAUAUCUUCUUAAAGCGGCUGUGAAGUGUAAGAAUAUUUUCAGCAGCUACUGGGUUUGACUCAACCCAAGAUGAUGAAUCCUGAAGAUGGAACAAAGUGCAUGACAAGGUGGCCCAGAGGAAGCCAGCUGUUUGUUCUCAAUCCCUACCUUGCCCCAUUCUUCCAAGAGCUCACUGAGUUUGAAUGAAAACCUCUAGUGAGGACACCUACAACACCAGGUGUCGCAGGAAGGCCAAGAAGAACAUCAGGGACCUCAGCCAUCCGAACCAUGGCCUGUUCUUCCCAUUUUCCUUACUCAGACGCAGGUGGCACAGGAGCAUUAUGGCGAAAACUGGAAGACUGGCCAAUAAUUUCUAGUCUGACUGCUGCUCCCCCUAUGGUCAAUGUCCACCCCAAUGGACAUGUAUUUAUUAAUCACUGCUACAGUUGUUAUUAUGUAU